GAUGAACGCUGGCGGCGUGCUUAACACAUGCAAGUCGAACGAUGAAGCCCAGCUUGCUGGGUGGAUUAGUGGCGAACGGGUGAGUAACACGUGAGUAACCUGCCCUUAACUCUGGGAUAAGCCUGGGAAACUGGGUCUAUUACCGGAUAGAGGGGCCUACGGAAGGGGGGGGGUUGGAAGUGUUUUUGGGUUUUGGAUGGACUCGCGCCCUAUCAGCUUGUUUGGGGGGUAGUGGCUAACCAGGGCGACGACGGGUAGCCGGCCUGGGAGGGUGACCUGCCACACUGGGACUGAGACACGGCCCAGACUCCUACGGGAGGCAGCAGUGGGGAAUAUUGCACAAUGGGCGAAAGCCUGAUGCAGCGACGCCGCGUGAGGGAUGACGGCCUUCGGGUUGUAAACCUCUUUCAGUAGGGAAGAAGCGAAAGUGACGGUACCUGCAGAAGAAGCACCGGCUAACUACGUG
rnacentral:rRNA from 1 species